rnacentral:rRNA from 1 species
AUUGAACGCUGGCGGCAGGCCUAACACAUGCAAGUCGAGCGGAUGAAGGGAGCUUGCUCCUGGAUUCAGCGGCGGACGGGUGAGUAAUGCCUAGGAAUCUGCCUGGUGGUGGGGGAUAACGUCCGGAAACGGGCGCUAAUACCGCAUACGUCCUGAGGGAGAAAGUGGGGGAUCUUCGGACCUCACGCUACCAGAUGAGCCUAGGUCGGAUUAGCUAGUUGGUGGGGUAAAGGCCUACCAAGGCGACGAUCCGUAACUGGUCUGAGAGGAUGAUCAGUCACACUGGAACUGAGACACGGUCCAGACUCCUACGGGAGGCAGCAGUGGGGAAUAUUGGACAAUGGGCGAAAGCCUGAUCCAGCCAUGCCGCGUGUGUGAAGAAGGUCUUCGGAUUGUAAAGCACUUUAAGUUGGGAGGAAGGGCAGUAAGUUAAUACCUUGCUGUUUUGACGUUACCAACAGAAUAAGCACCGGCUAACUUCGUG